ACCUUCAUGUGGUCUACUCUUCAACACAAUGAUACUCAGAAAAACUUCAACAUAACAGAAACUCUUUUAAAUGUCAAACAUAACAGUAUUAAACACUAACAGGUCUUUCCCGUCACUAAAAAAACACAUGAAAUAACACUUAAUUUCAACGUUUACUUUCCUUAUCCAGUCCUACGCAAAGCAUGCUGGGAACUAGAAAUCCACUACCCAAUUUCCAAAGUUAAUAAGACAAUUUUAUUGAUAUGAAGUGAUUUUAAGC